rnacentral:rRNA from 1 species
UUGAUCCUGGCUCAGGACGAACGCUGGCGGCACGCUUAACACAUGCAAGUCGAACGAGAGAAGAGGAGCUUGCUUUUCUGAUCUAGUGGCGGACGGGUGAGUAACACGUGAGCAAUCUGCCUUUCAGAGGGGGAUACCGAUUGGAAACGAUCGUUAAUACCGCAUAACAUAAUUGAACCGCAUGAUUUGAUUAUCAAAGAUUUAUCGCUGAAAGAUGAGCUCGCGUCUGAUUAGCUAGUUGGUAAGGUAACGGCUUACCAAGGCGACGAUCAGUAGCCGGACUGAGAGGUUGAUCGGCCACAUUGGGACUGAGACACGGCCCAGACUCCUACGGGAGGCAGCAGUGGGGAAUAUUGCACAAUGGAGGAAACUCUGAUGCAGCGAUGCCGCGUGAGGGAAGAAGGUUUUAGGAUUGUAAACCUCUGUCUUCAGGGACGAAAAAAGACGGUACCUGAGGAGGAAGCUCCGGCUAACUACGUGCCAGCAGCCGCGGUAAUACGUAGGGAGCGAGCGUUGUCCGGAAUUACUGGGUGUAAAGGGAGCGUAGGCGGGAUCGCAAGUCAGAUGUGAAAACUAUGGGCUUAACCCAUAAACUGCAUUUGAAACUGUGGUUCUUGAGUGAAGUAGAGGUAAGCGGAAUUCCUAGUGUAGCGGUGAAAUGCGUAGAUAUUAGGAGGAACAUCAGUGGCGAAGGCGGCUUACUGGGCUUUAACUGACGCUGAGGCUCGAAAGCGUGGGGAGCAAACAGGAUUAGAUACCCUGGUAGUCCACGCCGUAAACGAUGAUUACUAGGUGUGGGGGGACUGACCCCUUCCGUGCCGCAGCAAACGCAAUAAGUAAUCCACCUGGGGAGUACGACCGCAAGGUUGAAACUCAAAGGAAUUGACGGGGGCCCGCACAAGCAGUGGAGUAUGUGGAUUAAUUCGAAGCAACGCGAAGAACCUUACCAGGUCUUGACAUCGUAUGCAUAGCUCAGAGAUGAGUGAAAUCUCUUCGGAGACAUAUAGACAGGUGGUGCAUGGUUGUCGUCAGCUCGUGUCGUGAGAUGUUGGGUUAAGUCCCGCAACGAGCGCAACCCUUACUGUUAGUUGCUACGCAAGAGCACUCUAGCAGGACUGCCGUUGACAAAACGGAGGAAGGUGGGGAUGACGUCAAAUCAUCAUGCCCCUUAUGACCUGGGCCUCACACGUACUACAAUGGCUGUUAACAGAGGGAUGCAAAGCCGCGAGGUGGAGCGAACCCCUAAAAGCAGUCUUAGUUCGGAUUGUAGGCUGCAACCCGCCUACAUGAAGUCGGAAUUGCUAGUAAUCGCAGAUCAGCAUGCUGCGGUGAAUACGUUCCCGGACGG